GGGUAUCCCUGAAAGCAUACCUUUCUGAGUAUCGUUUCAACCACCUCCACGCGGCGUGCAUUUAUUUGUGCGAUUCGUUUGUGGGUAAAUGGAUGUUUGGCUGACGCCAAUCAUCUGAAACGCAUUCAGUUUCAGUAUCUUCGACCGGUAAACUUUACUGUUUAUCGCGUUGACGAUGUUUGAUAAUUGACCUUUGGUCAUUACUCUAUCACAUCGGCAAUGUAGAAGAACCACUGCAAAUUGUUUCAAGGCCCAAGAACUACUCGAAACAAGCAAUUGUUUCAAUCUGUUCUUAAUCUUGAUCUCAGAUAAAGUAAGAGAACCCGCCGAAUUUAAGCAUAUUAUUAAGCGGAGGAAAAGAAACUAACAAGGAUUCCCCUAGUAACGGCGAGUGAAGCGGGAAGAGCUCAAAGUUAAAAUCGGGGUACUGAGAGGUGCUUCCGAAUUGUAAUCUAGAGACACUUUUUCAGCCUCGACCCGGGUAUAAAUCUUUUGAAACAAGGUGUCAUAGAGGGUGAGAAUCCCGUCUUUGAUCCGGAGUUCGGGGCGUACGAA
rnacentral:rRNA from 1 species